GAUGAACGCUGGCGGCGUGCCUAAUACAUGCAAGUCGAGCGAACAGACGAGGAGCUUGCUCCUCUGGCGUUAGCGGCGGACGGGUGAGUAACACGUGGAUAACCUACCUAUAAGACUGGGAUAACUUCGGGAAACCGGAGCUAAUACCGGAUAAUAUAUUGAACCGCAUGGUUCAAUAGUGAAAGACGGUUUUGCAGUCACUUAUAGAUGGAUCCGCGCCGCAUUAGCUAGUUGGUAAGGUAACGGCUUACCAAGGCGACGAUGCGUAGCCGACCUGAGAGGGUGAUCGGCCACACUGGAACUGAGACACGGUCCAGACUCCUACGGGAGGCAGCAGUAGGGAAUCUUCCGCAAUGGGCGAAAGCCUGACGGAGCAACGCCGCGUGAGUGAUGAAGGUCUUCGGAUCGUAAAACUCUGUUAUUAGGGAAGAACAAAUGUGUAAGUAACUAUGCACGUCUUGACGGUACCUAAUCAGAAAGCCACGGCUAACUACGUG
rnacentral:rRNA from 1 species